AGGAAAAAGCUAUCGGUUGUAUCAAAAUAUCCCCCGAUCCUACAGACAAAAUCUAGCAAUUAAUCAUACCAAAUGAAACACGAUGUACAUUGUUAAUGCUACUUUUUGUACAAACCAACGUGCCAUAUAAUGAUGGAGGGGAGCAUGGAUCCAGAGAGUACCGACUUGGGGGCCAACAAUCAUCUCCUUAAAUCUUGCCCAGCAGUAGGAAAGGACUCGGCAUCCUCAGAAAUUUGCAACCACAAUGAAAACCCCACAGACAACAGCAAUUGUAACUUGUCUACGGACACGGACAAGGACAACGAAUCCAACAUGGAAUCUGACCCCGUUAUCAACCAAGCGAACUCUCUCAAUGAACAGAUGCCUUUGAAAGACAAUGUCGCGUCAGACUGUGAACCUUGUGGUGUUCCCACAGGGGAGAGCCUUAGUCCAAGUUCAAAUGAACCAUGCUGCGAUAAUCCCACUCAGGACAGGGAAAUGUUGAGCCCAGAUAGUCCCACAUGCAUGGACUUCACAGAAGG